CCAGUAGUCAUAUGCUUGUCUCAAAGAUUAAGCCAUGCAUGUCUAAGUUCACACCCUCGUACGGUGAAACCGCGAAUGGCUCAUUAACUCAGUCGAGGUUCCUUACAUGAUCCAUUUCUACUUGGAUAACUGUGGUAAUUCUAGAGCUAAUACAUGCCCAACAGCUCCGACCCCGGGCUUCACGGUUCGGGGAAAGAGCGCUUUUAUUAGUUCAAAACCAGUCGGGGGUUUCGGCCCUCGUGCUUUGGUGACUCUGGAUAACUUUGAGCCGAUCGCAUGGCCUCGAGCCGGCGACGCAUCUUUCAAAUGUCUGCCCUAUCAAAUGACGACGGUACGUGAUCUGCCUACCGUGUUGACUACGGGUAGCGGGGAAUCAGGGUUCGAUUCCGGAGAGGGAGCAUGAGA
rnacentral:rRNA from 1 species